AGUUAAUUAGCUUAUAAAAAGCAUAUACUUUGAAAGUAUAAGAAAGAUAAUAAAUUUAUUAACUU
rnacentral:tRNA from 1 species